GCACAAGCGGUGGAGCAUGUGGUUUAAUUCGACGCAACGCGCAGAACCUUACCCAGACUUGACAUGCCUGAAAUCCUGCAGAGAUGUGGGAGUGCCCGCAAGGGAAUCAGGACACAGGUGCUGCAUGGCUGUCGUCAGCUCGUGUCGUGAGAUGUUGGGUUAAGUCCCGCAACGAGCGCAACCCUCGCCUUUAGUUGCCAGCAUUCAGUUGGGCACUCUAGAGGGACUGCCGGUGUCAAGCCGGAGGAAGGUGGGGAUGACGUCAAGUCCUCAUGGCCUUUAUGUCUGGGGCUACACACGUGCUACAAUGGUCGGUACAGAGGGUUGCAAAGCCGCGAGGUGGAGCCAAUCCCAGAAAACCGACCCCAGUUCGGAUCGAAGUCUGCAACUCGACUUCGUGAAGUCGGAAUCGCUAGUAAUCGCGGAUCAGAACGCCGCGGUGAAUACGUUCCCGGGC
rnacentral:rRNA from 1 species